rnacentral:rRNA from 1 species
GCAUCAGAACGAACGCUGGCGGCGUGCUUAACACAUGCAAGUCGAACGCGAAAGUUUUCUUCGGAAAGCGAGUAGAGUGGCGCACGGGUGAGUAACGCGUAAGUAAUCUACCCUGGUAUCUGGGAUAACCCACCGAAAGGUGUGCUAAUACCGGAUACGCUGAUUUAUCAGGAAAGGUGGCCUCUUCAUGAAAGCUACUGUACCAGGAGGAGCUUGCGUACCAUUAGCUAGUUGGUAGGGUAAUGGCCUACCAAGGCGACGAUGGUUAGCGGGUCUGAGAGGAUGAUCCGCCACACUGGAACUGGAACACGGACCAGACUCCUACGGGAGGCAGCAGUGAGGAAUAUUGCGCAAUGGGGGAAACCCUGACGCAGCGACGCCGCGUGGAUGAUGAAGGCCUUCGGGUCGUAAAAUCCUGUCAGAUGGAAAGAAAUGUAUAGAGGUUAAUAUCCUUUAUAUUUGACGGUACCAUCAAAGGAAGCACCGGCUAACUCCGUGCCAGCAGCCGCGGUAAUACGGAGGGUGCAAGCGUUGUUCGGAAUUACUGGGCGUAAAGCGCGCGUAGGCGGCUUUUUAAGUCAGAUGUGAAAGUCCACGGCUCAACCGUGGAAGUGCAUUUGAAACUGGGGAGCUUGAGUACUGGAGGGGGUGGUGGAAUUCCCGGUGUAGAGGUGAAAUUCGUAGAUAUCGGGAGGAAUACCGGUGGCGAAGGCGACCACCUGGCCAGAUACUGACGCUGAGGUGCGAAAGCGUGGGGAGCAAACAGGAUUAGAUACCCUGGU